UACGUAGGGGGCAAGCGUUGUCCGGAUUCAUUGGGCGUAAAGAGCGUGUAGGCGGCCAGGUAGGUCGGUUGUGAAAACUGGAGGCUCAACCUUCAGAGGUCGACCGAAACCAUCUGGCUAGAGUCCGGGAGAGGAGAGUGGAAUUCCUGGUGUAGCGGUGAAAUGCGCAGAUAUCAGGAAGAACACCCGUGGCGAAAGCGGCUCUCUGGAACGGUACUGGACGCUGAGACGCGAAAGCGUGGGAGCGAACAGG
rnacentral:rRNA from 1 species